GGUUUCUCUGUGUAGCCUUAGCUGUCCUAGAACUCACUCUGUAGACCAGGCUGGCCUCGAACUCACAGAGAUCCACCUGCCUCUGCCUCCUGAGUGCUGGGACUAAAGGUGUGCGCCACCAAUGCCCG
ensembl:miRNA